CCUACGGGGGGCUGCAGUGGGGGAUAUUGCACAAUGGGGGAAACCCUGAUGCAGCGACGCCGCGUGUGGGAAGACGGUCUUCUGGAUUGUAAACCACUGUCCCCAGGGACGAAAAUGACGGUACCUGGGGAGGACGCUCCGGCUAACUACGUGCCAGCAGCCGCGGUAAUACGUAGGGAGCAAGCGUUGUCCGGAAUUACUGGGUGUAAAGGGAGCGUAGGCGGGGAUGCAAGUUGGGUGUCAAAACUACCGGCUCAACCGAUAGUCGCACUCAAAACUGCAGCUCUUGAGUGAAGUAGAGGCAGGCGGAAUUCCUAGUGUAGCGGUGAAAUGCGUAGAUAUUAGGAGGAACACCAGUGGCGAAGGCGGCCUGCUGGGCUUUGACUGACGCUGAGGCUCGAAAGUGUGGGGAGCAAACAGGAUUAGAUACCCCUGUAGUC
rnacentral:rRNA from 1 species